rnacentral:rRNA from 1 species
GGGGGGGGGGCAGGCCUACACAUGCAAGUCGAGCGGCAGCGGGAAAGUAGCUUGCUACUUUUGCCGGCGAGCGGCGGACGGGUGAGUAAUGCCUGGGAAAUUGCCCAGUCGAGGGGGAUAACAGUUGGAAACGACUGCUAAUACCGCAUACGCCCUACGGGGGAAAGCAGGGGACCUUCGGGCCUUGCGCGAUUGGAUAUGCCCAGGUGGGAUUAGCUAGUUGGUGAGGUAAUGGCUCACCAAGGCGACGAUCCCUAGCUGGUCUGAGAGGAUGAUCAGCCACACUGGAACUGAGACACGGUCCAGACUCCUACGGGAGGCAGCAGUGGGGAAUAUUGCACAAUGGGGGAAACCCUGAUGCAGCCAUGCCGCGUGUGUGAAGAAGGCCUUCGGGUUGUAAAGCACUUUCAGCGAGGAGGAAAGGUCAGUAUCUCAUAUCUGCUGGCUGCGACGUUACU